rnacentral:rRNA from 1 species
GUGUCAGCAGCCGCGGUAAAACGUAGGAGGCAAGCGUUAUCCGGAGUUACUGGGCGUAAAGCGCAAGUAGGCGGUCGGGCAAGUUGGUUGUGAAAGCCCCUGGCUAAACUGGGGGAGGCCGAUCAAGACUGUUCGACUAGAGAGUGAUAGAGGGGCGCAGAAUUCGGGGUGUAGCGGUGAAAUGUGUAGAGAUCCCGAGGAAUACCAGUGGGGAAGCCGGCGCCCUGGGUCAUAUCUGACGCUGAGAUGCGAAAGCGUGGGGAGCGAACGGGAUUAGAUACCCCAGUAGUCC